GACGUAGGGCGCAAGCGUUGUCCGGAUUUAUUGGGCGUAAAGAGCUCGUAGGCGGCCUGUCGCGUCGACCGUGAAAACCCGCAGCUCAACUGCGGGCUUGCGGUCGAUACGGGCAGGCUGGAGUUCGGUAGGGGAGACUGGAAUUCCUGGUGUAGCGGUGAAAUGCGCAGAUAUCUGGAGGAACACCGGUGGCGAAGGCGGCAUCCUGGACCGGUAUUGACGCUGAGGCGCGAAAGCCAGGGGAGCAAACGGG
rnacentral:rRNA from 1 species